GUGGUCUCGAUCUCCUGACUCGUGAUCUGCCCGCCUCGGCCUCCCAAAGUGCUGGGAUUACAAGCGUGAGCCACCGCGCCCGGCCCUCCAAGUGAUUUUCAACAUGCAACCAGAGUUGAGAACUAUUGGCAAUAUUUCUCAAACUUAAGUGAUGGCUGCUCCCCCUUUGCCUUCUGCCAUGAUUGGAAGCUUCCUGAGGCCUCCCCAGAAGCAGAAACCACUAUACUUCCUGUACAGCCUGCAGAACCUCUGAUUGUUAUCAGUGGUGAAUGCGAUGGGUCUGCCGCCAACUUUAUCCUUGCCUCCUUGGAGGAAAGAAUUCAGCUGAGAGGCAUAAGGCAUAGUGAGAGAUCGAGCAAGCCUAUGCGUCUGGACUGUGAUCUCCCCAAGUGCUGCUCAGUUCCUUCCCAUUUAGGUGGGACAGGAUAGCUGAGUUGGGUGGAAUUCGGCAUUUCUCUUCCCCAGCAUUGGUUCCUGUGGCGGUUUCCACUCUCAAGUUUCUUCUCCGGAGCAACUUGAGAAGAUCCCAUGCCGGGACAGGUGUGGCUACAACCGAAUGAGAGCAAGAGAGAGGAGAGCAGAUGAGGUCUGAGAAUUAGCCAACAGCUACCAGAUGGAGUUUCACUCUUGUUGCCCAAGCUGGAGUGCAAUGGCGUGAUCUUGGCUGACUGCAACUUAUGCCUCCCAGGUUCAAGCGAUUCUGCUGCCUCAGCCUCUCGAGUAACUGGGAUUACAGGUAUGCACCACCACGCCCAGCUAAUUUUGUAGUUUUAGUAGAGAACGGGGUUUCUCCAUGUUGGUCAGGCUGGUCUGGAACUCCCGACCUCAGGUGAUCUGUCCACAUCAGCUUCCCAAAGUGCUGGGAUUACAGGCGUGAGCCACCAUGCUAGGCGACUCAUUUUUAAAAAUGAGUUUCAUUACUGACAAGAAUAAAGAUGAAUAUUUUUACCUGGAGCGCAGACUACAGAAACAAGACAUUGUAUAGCAAAAGAUCUUCCUAUUACUUUGGCAUAAGAAGAGCCAACUCACAGACAAAUUUUUACAAAGUAUACGCAAAGCACCUCCAUUAGAAUGAAAUGCAAGUCAGGUAGAACUCCUUCAGAAUUUACCAAAUUCAAUCUAUUGCUUCAAUUUAUUGUGUUUUUUAUAAACACAACUUAUGAGAAGCUAAAAUUCUUUUAAUACUUAAGUCAUAGAUUUGGUAAAAAUCAUGGAAGCCUAAUGCUGACUGAGACCUAAAGAACUAUAUUUUAAGAAACUGCCCUAAACAUUGACUCUAUCCCUGCUCCCACCCUUUUGAAAAAGGCACAGUAUAACAAUUUUUCAUGUAAUACAACUGAUUAUACAGUUCAAAUUAUAGUGCUUAAAGAAUACUUUCUUCUACUAGAAUUAUGAUUCAUUCUCACUGGCAGAAUCCAAUCCUUGUUAAUUUGUUGACUUGUAUUAAUUCCACGGAUAUGGUCUCACCUGUAGGCCCCAAAGUACAAUGAUCAUUUCUAGUGUAUCUUCCUUUUGACCUGUAAACUCUUUGAAAGCAUUCUGUAUGUGUUGCUCAUCCUUACAUUGUCAGUGCCUGGCACAGUAUCUGAUACUAGUAGGUAUGUAUAAAUCUUUGAUAAACUAUGUUUUUCAAAGAAUCAUUGACUUCUUAGCAGACCCACUUGCAAGUCCCUCCUUUUACUCUUUCAAUUGUAAAUAAAAUCUCCUAGCAAUCACCAGUACUAGCAUUUUCAAUUACCAAAAAACUAUUAGCAGUAACAUUGCCACUGGUAAUAUUUUAGUCAGUCCACUAUCACUAAGCUAAUGGGAAAUCAAUAGUAACAAAGUGGUAGAUUAUAAUGUAGCCCUAAAAAAUGUUUAAAUCAAGUUCCACGGUUCUUUCAGAAGAGGGGGAGAUUGUUUUGUAUGCUCUUGAUCUUUCUGAAGUUAAAGUUCAUGUAUUUUUAGGAUGCUAAAAAAAAAUAUCCUGGACAUUAUGAAGUUAAAGUUCAUGUAUUUUUAGGAUGCUAAAAAAAAAUAUCCUGGACAUUAAAAAGGUGCCAAACUGUUACACACUCAUAAGAAAACAUGCUGGAUGAAUUAUUAAUACCAUGUGAAUGCAGCUUCUUAACCAAGCAAUGAGUUUCUGCAAAAGCAUGUGUUCUCUUUAAAGCACUGAAGUAAAGGUGCUGUGAUACAUGAAAGAAACUGGGAUAACCUCAAAAACAUAGCUGCUUGGCAAAACAUCAGAUUUUUUAUAAAGCUGCAAAUACUGACAGCAGUGACACUCGUAAAGACAAGUGGAAGCCAAUUCAGUCCUUUUUUUAGAUUACCUGUACAUAUAGUUCUGUGAGUUCUUUAAAUUCAAUUUGAAAUGAGGUAGAGAAUAUGUAUCAUUAUUACUAGCACAUCAGUAAUUAGUUCCAUCAACAUUUGGAGGUGAAAAGUUAUUUCCAUGCGAGACCACUAAACAUUUGGUAAAUACAUCUUGUAGAUGGGAAAAAAUAUCUCAAGUUAAAUCUAAAAAUAAAACAUUUGUGCAAUUUGUUGAAAAUUAGCAUUGUUGAAAAGCAGUUAAAGCUGCAAGCUCAAAUUUAUGUCAGGCUGUAAUUUUGCCAUUUAUAUUUAUAGAGUUCUCUAUCUUUAUAGAGUUCUCUAUCAAGCAGUGUUCUAAAAUUUUUCAAGAGCUCAGUAACAAAAAUUUGAUUUAGUAUAAAAAAUGCAUACAAACG